rfam:Schistosoma margrebowiei strain Zambia genome assembly, scaffold: SMRZ_scaffold0000577
AUCCGGCUGACGAGUCCCAAAUAGGACGAAACGCGCGUCGUGGAU